rnacentral:rRNA from 1 species
AUGAACGCUAGCUACAGGCUUAACACAUGCAAGUCGAGGGGCAGCAUGACCUAGCAAUAGGUUGAUGGCGACCGGCGCACGGGUGAGUAACACGUAUCCAACCUACCGGUUAUUCCGGGAUAGCCUUUCGAAAGAAAGAUUAAUACCGGAUAGUAUAACGAGAAGGCAUCUUUUUGUUAUUAAAGAAUUUCGAUAACCGAUGGGGAUGCGUUCCAUUAGUUUGUUGGCGGGGUAACGGCCCACCAAGACAUCGAUGGAUAGGGGUUCUGAGAGGAAGGUCCCCCACAUUGGAACUGAGACACGGUCCAAACUCCUACGGGAGGCAGCAGUGAGGAAUAUUGGUCAAUGGACGAGAGUCUGAACCAGCCAAGUAGCGUGAAGGAUGACUGCCCUAUGGGUUGUAAACUUCUUUUAUAUGGGAAUAAAGUGAGCCACGUGUGGCUUUUUGUAUGUACCAUACGAAUAAGGAUCGGCUAACUCCGUGCCAGCAGCCGCGGUAAUACGGAGGAUCCGAGCGUUAUCCGGAUUUAUUGGGUUUAAAGGGAGCGUAGGCGGACUAUUAAGUCAGCUGUGAAAGUUUGCGGCUCAACCGUAAAAUUGCAGUUGAUACUGGUCGUCUUGAGUGCAGUAGAGGUAGGCGGAAUUCGUGGUGUAGCGGUGAAAUGCUUAGAUAUCACGAAGAACUCCGAUUGCGAAGGCAGCUUACUGGACUGUAACUGACGCUGAUGCUCGAAAGUGUGGGUAUCAAACAGGAUUAGAUACCCUGGUAGUCCACACAGUAAACGAUGAAUACUCGCUGUUUGCGAUAUACGGCAAGCGGCCAAGCGAAAGCAUUAAGUAUUCCACCUGGGGAGUACGCCGGCAACGGUGAAACUCAAAGGAAUUGACGGGGGCCCGCACAAGCGGAGGAACAUGUGGUUUAAUUCGAUGAUACGCGAGGAACCUUACCCGGGCUCAAACGCAGGGGGAAUGCCGGUGAAAGUCGGCAGCUAGUAAUAGUCACCUGCGAGGUGCUGCAUGGUUGUCGUCAGCUCGUGCCGUGAGGUGUCGGCUUAAGUGCCAUAACGAGCGCAACCCUUAUCUUUAGUUACUAACAGGUCAUGCUGAGGACUCUAGAGAGACUGCCGUCGUAAGAUGUGAGGAAGGUGGGGAUGACGUCAAAUCAGCACGGCCCUUACGUCCGGGGCUACACACGUGUUACAAUGGGGGGUACAGAAGGCAGCUACACAGCGAUGUGAUGCUAAUCCCAAAAGCCUCUCUCAGUUCGGAUUGGAGUCUGCAACCCGACUCCAUGAAGCUGGAUUCGCUAGUAAUCGCGCAUCAGCCACGGCGCGGUGAAUACGUUCCCGGGCCUUGUACACACCGCCCGUCAAGCCAUGAAAGCCGGGGGUACCUGAAGUCCGUAACCGUAAGGAGCGGCCUAGGGUAAAACUGGUAAUUGGGGCU